AUCUAACGCGUGACGGAAACAAAAAGCGACCCACGAGAAGCGCGAAGAGAGAGACGCACUAGCGAAUUCGCAUCGCUGCUUCGAAGAACGAACGGGAGUCAGGAGGAUCGAUCGAUCGAUCGAUCGGCCAAGGGCAGAUUGAGAGGGAACAAAGGAGUGGUGAUUCGGAGGGGAGAGAGAUGGUGGACGAGACGAGGAACCAGAUGAUGCAGAACCUCUUCGGCGAUCAGUCGGAGGAGGAGGAGGAGGAAGAGGAGGAGGUCGACUCCGAGCACCACCACCACGCCGCCGCCGCCGCCAACCAUUCUGAUUACCAAUCGGAUGAAGGGGAAGGUGAGGCUGAGGAUGAUGAUGGUGAAGGUGAAGGUGAAGGUGAAAUUGAGGGGCAAGAGGAGGUUGAAGUUGAAAGUGAAGCUGAAGCAUAUAAUGUUGAUCUUGAGCAGGGAGAGAGUGAGGGGGAAAGGGUUCAGAGUUCUCCAGAAAGAGAAGUCAGUGACCCGAAGAUGGAAAGUGAACCAAAAGAUGCUGAAAGUGAAGAGGAAGGCUAUGGACAAAGGGUAGUGACUAGCAGGAGAAGAGAAGUGGUGGCCAGUGAGUCUGAAGGUGAUCGUGAAGAUGAAGAGAUGGACUCUGAUCAACACAGGCAACCCAGGUUAAUGAGUGAGCAAAAGGACCAUGAAGUUGUUCGUAAUGUAUUUGGGGAUUCUGAUGAGGAUGAACCAGCUGAAUAUGGUGGUCAAGAUGAAAUUGAGCAAGAAUUACAUAGAUCUCCUAUGGAGGAAGAAACAAACUAUGAGAGAGAGAUAAGACCAGAAGACGUAGUCCCUGAUGAUGAUAUGCAGUAUGCUUCAGAGGAUGAUAAUUUUGAAGAGAAACCUAAAGAUAAACCAGUUGGCCCACCACUGGAUUUGGAGUUUUCAUCACAAGAACCACCAGGGCGACCUGAUAAGAUGAACGCUAUUAAAGUCUCUAACAUCAUGGGUAUUGAACCAAAACCCUUUGAUCCUAAGACAUAUGUAGAAGAUGAUGUUUAUGUGACAGAUGAAUCUGGUGCAAAGAAGCGGAUUCGCCUAGAGGACAAUAUUGUGCGCUGGAGAAGAGUCAAGAAUCGUGAUGGCACAGUCUCUUAUGAAAGCAAUGCACGGUUUGUGAGAUGGAAAGAUGGAAGCCUACAAUUAUUAAUUGGGAAUGAGGUUCUUGAUAUAUCAGUGCAUGAUGCACAUCAGGACCAGAGCCACCUAUUUCUUAGGCAUGGAAAGGGAAUUCUGCAAUCUCAAGGGAGGCUUUUACAAAAGAUGAAGUUUAUGCCAUCUUCAUUAUCUUCAAAGUCCCAUCGUUUGUUGACUGCUCUUGUUGAUUCACGUCAUAAGAAGGUUUAUAAGGUGAAGAACUGUAUUACAGAGAUCGAUCCAGAGAAAGAAAAGGAACAAAAAGAACGGGUUGAAGGCCAAACUAUUAGAGCCAAUGAACUUCUUCACAGGAAAAGGGAAAAAGUGAACCGCAAGUAUGCACAACCCGUCCAUAGAGGGCGGCAGCAACUUUCUCCAGGGUUUUUGGAGGAUGCACUUGAUGAGGAAGAUGAGGCAGAUGACUAUUACAGUUCUCAUCGGACUUCGGCUCAUAGUCAUUUUGAGGAAGAUUUGGAGGCAGAAGCAAGGGCUGAGAGACGCAUAAUCAACGCUAAGAAGUCAAAUGUACAUAUGAAUGCCCAACGAAAGCCAUCAGUGUCUGCUGCUCGCCAAUCAAGGCGCCCGCUUGAUGAAUAUUCAGAGAGUGAAAGGGAGGAAUCUGAAUAUGAAAGUGAUGGUGCGGAGGUUGAUCGGUCUCCACUGCAUGCAAGAGAUGAGCCAGACCACGAAGAUGAAUAUGAAGAAGAGGCAGAUGAAGAAGCUGCUGAUGCAAUCUCUCCAUCGGAAGGAGAUGAAGAUGAGGAGCCAAGGGGCAAGACGAAGGAAACCGGAAGCAGCUCUCUGAAACGCAAGGAGAUCGACUCUGACGAGGAAUCUCCUCCCAGAAAGACAACAGUUCAUCGGAGAAAGGCAGUUGUGUUUGAUAGCGACGAAGACUAACUUUUCUGUGACUGGUGGUGCCUCUCCGAUCUUUUUCCUAGGAAAAAGACAUGCUAGCAUAAGUGCACAUUCAUGCGACAAAGUUGCGCCAGGAUGAUUUUGGCUCAGAAGAGAGAUUGCAUGGAGGCAGCUUUACCACUUACAGUAUCUACACUGACACACAAAAGAAUCUUCACAAACUUGCAUAUUUUUCCAGUAUAUGAUGCUUGUAAGACUUUUGAGUUCAUUUCUGAUACUACCUAAUGCAUUAUUCUUGUCACGUUUCAAUGGCAGGAAUUCUUGGAGACAAAUUGAUGCAGGGUACCGGUCGGCUUAACGCGCGAACCGGUCGGCAAUUAACAUGGGUGAGCGAACCGGCCUAAACCAAUUGGUUAACGUGUCGUGCUUUUUCAGCACCUGCGUGAUUUGCCCUGCCCGUGUACCUGCUUUGUCAUUGGCAAGAAUAGCAAAU